rnacentral:piRNA from 1 species
UGUGAUUUUCCAGGUAUCUUGCCGGAAGA